GGCUGGUUUUUCACACCUUGCGUAAGUGAUCCAGGUUUAAGGUAAGAUAUGCCAGCUAAAGCUUUUUUAUUCACGUGAUAAAAUAGAGAUCAUUGGGCUUUUUUUUAAUUACCGUCUAAAUUAAAAAAUGAAGGUAUAAUUAAAACAUUGUUUACGCAUUUACAUUCAAAAUUAUUAAUUUUUAUAUGUUGAUGAUUAGGAAAAUGCUCUAAAAAUUAAAGAGAAUAGGACAAAGCAAAUCAUUGCUCACCCGGGUGGAUCUAAGAGCAUUGCAAGAAAAAUAGAUGAAAUGGUGAUAAUAAUACAUAUGUUCAUGUCAAAUUUAUGUUUUAAUCUCUCUUAGUGUGUGUCAUAUAAUUUUUCUUCAUUUUAAUAGGAAAAAAAGUAUGGCCACAAGGUUAGUAGAGGAGAUAUAUGGAUAGCUACACAUAAGCAUGCUAAUGGAACAUUUGUGAGUGAUGAAGCGAAGAAAAUUUGUGUAAGUUAAAUUUCUAAUAAAGUCUAUAAUUGUCAAUAACACUUAAUGUAAGUUUAAUUUAUUUCUUCUUGCGUUCUUUGUAGGAAAAAAUUCAAGCAUAUGAAUUAACUUCAUCACCAUAAAAAAUCAUAGCCGAAGAAUGUUAUUUAGUAGGAACUGUUCACUAUAUGAUAUUUCAUAGGUUUUAGUUAUUUGUUGGCAUUGUUUUGUUUGUAUGGUACAUGAAGAAGGUUAACAAGGAAGAGAAAAACUGGCACUUUACUUUCUCUUGCAUUUUGCAGAGUCACCUGAGAGAAAAAUGGGACAAAAGUCUCUUUAAGGUGGA
rnacentral:lncRNA from 1 species